UUUGAAAAAUAUUUAAAAAAGCAAUUUAUCUAACUUUGCCCUAUUUGAAAAUUAGUUAAGAGGGCAAAAUACUGAAUUUGUCCUCCUUGGUUAAGGAAGGAAAAAAAAAAAAAAAGGCCAUGUGAGAGCUUUACCAUACUUGCUUUAAUACUUUCUCCAUUAUCCCCUAAAAAGAGAUCAAUACAAUCACGGAUUUUUAGCUCUUACAUGCAUGUUCAUUACUUCCAAUAAUUUCAGAUUUUCUCUCUCUUUUCAAUCUCUCAAUCAACUUUUAAUUCAAUUUCUCUCUCUUUUCAAUCUCUCAAUCAACUUUUGUUCAAUCUAAAUGCAGUCGAUGGAGUUCGCUUCAAUCGAUUUCAUCAGUUCGUACAUCUGAGAAUUUUCAUGAUUUAUGGCGAUUUAUCUUGUCACAUUAUCUUGUCACAUCAUCAAUCUAUGCUAAAUGCUUUAAUGUGGAGAUGCAAGUAGGAAUGGCAACGGGUCGGACUUGGACCGGAUUAUGCAUAAUCCGACUCCGACCCUACAGAAAGUCGGAUUUUAAAUCCGAGCCCGAGUCCGACAUUCGACUUUGAAAAUCCGAAUCCGACCCGACUUGAAAUCCGAACAUCCGACUCCGAGAUCCGACCCGACUUAAAAUUCGGACAUCCGACUUAAAAUCCGAACAUCCGACUCCGAACCUGAUCCAACUUAUUUUUCUUCCAAUUUUUUAUAAUAAAAUAGUCUUCUAUAAUACAAUAAUUUAAUCAUUAUAAUUUAUUCUAAUUAUCAUAUGGAAAUCUUAUAUGGUACAAAUAAUCUAAUUAUUAUUAUUAUUUUUAACAAUCAUUUUUUCUAUGGGAAAAACCUAUAUAAUACAAUUGGCUGAAAGUUGAAGUCAGAUUAUACAUAAAUAAUACAUUACAUAAAUAAGAAAAAAGGAUUGAUUGACUCAAAGUCGGAGUCGGAUUCGCAUGUCGGAUUAUUUUAUGAGAUCCGACUCCGACCCUCCUUCGACUCGGAGUCGGAUUUUUUAAACGGAGUCGAAGUCGGAUUACUUUUUUGUCGGAGUCAAUUCGGAUUUUUUCUUUCGGAUCGGAGCGGACUGGGGUCGGAUUCGGACUGAAUUGCCAUCCCUAGAUGCAAGGAUGACGCCUAUGAUUGAAUCAAAAUUAUUCACAUUGAAGAAAGCAAAGAAGGUGGUGGUGGACUGGUGGUAGGCGGUGGCUAUAUUGGCAUGGAAGUUGCUGCAGCAGCUGUGGGAUGGAAUCUUGAUACUACGAUCAUAUUCCCUGAAGACCAUCUUUUGCAAAGAUUAUUUACUCCUUCACUAGCUAAGAAGUACGAAGAGCUGUAUGAGCAAAGUGGUGUGAAAUUUGUGAAGCUAGGGUAAUAUGAUUAAAAACCUAGAAGCUGGUUCUGAUGGAAGAGUGGCUGCAGUGAAACUUGAAAAUGGCUCUACCAUAGAAGCAGAUGUUAUAGUUAUUGGUAUUGGUGCCAAACCUGCUGUUGGUCCUUUCGAAAAAGUUGGCUUAAAUACGACUGAUCAUGGUCAACAUGGCUAGUUAUGGUUUUCACUUCAAGUGAGCCUGAUUGUGUUGUUUUUAAGGGUGGGAGUGAGCAAACCUUUGAAGAGAGUGCUGAGGUAGAAUCAAAACUUUUGUGGACAAAUGUCAAGUAAACAUUAUGUGAAUAUGAUUUCGUUAAAUUUUUUGUAAGCCAGUAUAGUAGGAGGCUACCAUAGCUGUUGAGGAUUUUGUUAAAAUUUUAGUAAAUCAAUAAAGUAAUAUUUUUCCCCUUGGUAUUACCGUGGUGUUAU